UAGCGUCCGUUCCACUGGAGAGAGGAGGUAGUAGCGUCCGUUCCACUGGAGAGAGGAGGUAGUAGCGUCCGUUCCACUGGAGAGAGGAGGUAGUAGCGUCCGUUCCACUGGAGAGAGGAGGUAGUAGCGUCCGUUCCACUGGAGAGAGGAGGUAGUAGCGUCCGUUCCACUGGAGAGAGGAGGUAGUAGCGUCCGUUCCACUGGAGAGAGGAGGUAGUAGCGUCCGUUCCACUGGACAGAGGAGGUAGUAGUGU